rnacentral:lncRNA from 1 species
CUGGCUCACACUAAAUUAUUUACAUUAAGAUUAUUAAGUUUCAGCGAGGACAUUAGAAGAUGAUAAUUAAACAAUUGACGGCACGCCCUGCCGUGGGCAGACGCUCAGGUAUUUAAACGCGGAGUGCGGUUUGAUUCUUGUGACGUUCGGGAGUCUGAAGAUGCGCAACUUGUUGAUUUCUUUCAUUUUCGGGAUCGCCCUCUCCGAAGAAUGCAAGCGGUUUCGUAGAGGUACUUGUUAAUCUCAGGGGUGAGAUUAUGGUUAAAAAUGGGGCUGGCGUCACAUACCUGGGCUA